GAGCUAUGAUGAGAUCUGAAGAAAGUCAUGCACCACUCUUACAAAAAUUUAUUUUUUGAUUGAUGACAAGUUUCUCAUACCCAUUUUGCUUCUGAGCUC